rnacentral:rRNA from 1 species
CAGUCGCCGCGGGAAUACAGAGGGUGCGAGCGUUAAUCGGAUUUACUGGGCGUAAAGCGUGCGUAGGCGGCUUCUUAAGUCGGAUGUGAAAUCCCUGAGCUUAACUUAGGAAUUGCAUUCGAUACUGGGAAGCUAGAGUAUGGGAGAGGAUGGUAGAAUUCCAGGUGUAGCGGUGAAAUGCGUAGAGAUCUGGAGGAAUACCGAUGGCGAAGGCGACUAUCUGGGCCAACACUGACACUGAGGCACGAAAGCGUGGGGAGCAAACAGGAUUAGAUACCCCCGUAGUCCCUGUCUCUUAUAC